rnacentral:rRNA from 1 species
AACGAACGCUGGCGGCAUGCCUAACACAUGCAAGUCGAACGAGACCUUCGGGUCUAGUGGCGCACGGGUGCGUAACGCGUGGGAACCUGCCCUUAGGUUCGGAAUAACUCCCCGAAAGGGGUGCUAAUACCGGAUAAUGUCUUCGGACCAAAGAUUUAUCGCCUUUGGAUGGGCCCGCGUUGGAUUAGCUAGUUGGUAGGGUAAAAGCCUACCAAGGCGACGAUCCAUAGCUGGUCUGAGAGGAUGAUCAGCCACACUGGGACUGAGACACGGCCCAGACUCCUCCGGGAAGGAAAAGCGGGGAAUGUUAGAAAAGGCGGGGGAGAGUGAUGCACUAAUACCGGGUGAGUGAUGAAGUCCUGAGGGUUAUAAAGCUCUGUUAACCGGGAGGAUACUGCCAGUGGAAAGAGAAUAAGAUCAGAGUACUUCAAAG